GAUGAACGCGGCGGCGCGCCUAACACAUGCAAGUCGAACGAUUAAAGCACCUUCGGGUGUGUAUAAAGUGGCGAACGGCUGAGUAACACGUGGGCAACCUGCCCCUUUCAUUGGGAUAGCCACGGGAAACCGUGGAUAAUACCGAAUACUUCGAGACUUCCGCAUGGAAGACUCGAGAAAGCUCCGGCGGAGAGGGAUGGGCCCGCGGCCUGUUAGCUUGUUGGUGGGGUAACGGCCUACCAAGGCAAUGAUGGGUAGCUGGGUUGAGAGACCGACCAGCCAGAUUGGGACUGAGACACGGCCCAGACUCCUACGGGAGGCAGCAGUGGGGAAUCUUGCACAAUGGGCGAAAGCCUGAUGCAGCGACGCCGCGUGCGGGAUGAAGGCCUUUCGGGUUGUAAACC
rnacentral:rRNA from 2 species